CCAUUAUAUGGAUUAAAGUGAUGCCACAUGGAUAAGUGAUGUCAUCGAGUGGUAGAUUUAAACAUUGUUCAUAUGCGACCAGCUCAAACUAGUUUCGAAAAAAAAGUAGGACGACACAGUAAACGCAAGCUGUAGUCUGGGUGCGGAAAGCAAACGACUACACAACCGGUAUAGUGAUUUGACAGACUGGGAAGUUGCCUGUUUGUGAGAAUGAAAAUGCAAGGUGUGUUCUCAAUGACACUUGUGCUGCUUGUGGCCUUGAUGGUCACAGCAGAAGCAGCACACAAACAUGGUGACAAAAAAGGUCAGAAAGCCAAAGAGGGGGGCAAAGCAGAGUGUGCUGAGAAGCGCUUUGGGAAAUGUGUGCCCAAUGCUGGUGACUGUGGAGAUGGGUUCCGUGAGGCCACCUGCAGUGAGCACACCACCAAACACAAGUGCAAUAUCCCCUGCAACUGGAAGAAGGCCUUUGGUGCUGACUGCAAGUACAGGUUCACCAAUUGGGGCGAGUGUGACACGACCACUGGCACCAAGAGCCGGUCAGGAACCCUGAAGAAAGACCUGUUCAAGUUAGACUGCGAGGCCACCAUCACGGUGACCAAGCCAUGCUCCUCCAAGCCCAAGGGGAAGGGAGGAAAAGGGAAGAGGACAGAGUGACAACUAAAGAGUGAAGCUUGAGGACUGACUGAGACACAGCAGGUGUGACUUCUGGCUUACUUCAGCAGCACAAUCGUCACCCUCCUUUGCCAAACACUCAGCCAGUGUCUCUGACUGUGUCAUUUGGGAUGUAGCAUCUGUCUCUGCCGCUAAGCGCUUUGUCCUUCUCAAAACAACAACAACAACCCAACAAUCUCUGCCUAUACUCUCAUGUUCAUGUCUUUUCACGAAAACAAUCUUGUUAUGUGUUUUUAUUUGUUUUAAGGGUUAAAAAAAAUCUUUACAUUCUUUUCAUUAGGCAACUUGACAUAUAAGUCAGUCUUCAUAGUUUUAGGCCAUCCUAUGUUUUUUUAACAGAAAAUGUAAAGAACUCAACUUCUAUAGAUAGUUGUAAUAAAGCUAUAGUUACAAAAUUAAACAUAAACAAACAACACUAUGAACAAAAUUAUAAUAUUUCUUCAAUGAUCAUGAGUGUCGUUGACCAUGUUCCAGAAGCUCAAAAAUACAUAAUUUAGAAGAUUUUAGAGGAAUAGAUUUUGUAAGUGGAUAUGUGUACUGUCUAUAUCCAGGAAACAAAUAUUAGAAUUCUAUGGAACUCCUUUGCAAAAUGUAUUUUUGAACAAUAGAAAUGACUGGAAUUGCAACAUGAGGUUUGUAUAAAAUAAUAAAAUAAUGUACUGUUGUUUGUAUAACAAAAA